GAGGGAUUCGAACCCUCGGU
rnacentral:tRNA from 1 species